rnacentral:rRNA from 1 species
AGAAUUGACGGGGCCCGCACAAGCGGUGGAGCAUGUGGUUUAAUUCGACGCAACGCGAAGAACCUUACCAGGGCUUGACAUCCCCUGACCGCGUAUGAAAGUACGUUUUCACCCUCGGGUGACAGGGAGACAGGUGGUGCAUGGUUGUCGUCAGCUCGUGUCGUGAGAUGUUGGGUUAAGUCCCGCAACGAGCGCAACCCCUACGUUUAGUUGCUAACGCGUGAAGGCGAGCACUCUAGACGAACUGCCGUUGACAAAACGGAGGAAGGUGGGGAUGACGUCAAAUCAUCAUGCCCCUUAUGUUCUGGGCUACACACGUGCUACAAUGGCCGGUACAGACGGACGCAAAGCCGCGAGGUGGAGCAAAUCCUAAAAAGCCGGUCUCAGUUCGGAUUGCAGGCUGCAAUUCGCCUGCAUGAAGUCGGAAUCGCUAGUAAUCGCAGGUCAGCAUACUGCGGUGAAUACGUUCUCGGGCCUU